GACGAACGCUGGCGGCGUGCCUAAUACAUGCAAGUAGAACGCACAGUUUAUACCGUAGCUUGCUACACCAUAGACUGUGAGUUGCGAACGGGUGAGUAACGCGUAGGUAACCUGCCUGGUAGCGGGGGAUAACUAUUGGAAACGAUAGCUAAUACCGCAUAAUAUUAAUUAUUGCAUGAUAAUUAAUUGAAAGGUGCAAUUGCACCACUACCAGAUGGACCUGCGUUGUAUUAGCUAGUAGGUGAGGUAACGGCUCACCUAGGCGACGAUACAUAGCCGACCUGGGGGGGGGGUCGGCCACACUGGGACUGGGACACGGCCCAGACUCCUACGGGAGGCAGCAGUAGGGGAUCUUCGGCAAUGGGCGAAAGUCUGACCGAGCAACGCCGCGGGAGUGAAGAAGGUUUUCGGAUCGUAAAGCUCUGUUGUAAGGGAAGAACGGGUGUGAGAGUGGAAAGUUCACACUGUGACGGUAUCUUACCAGAAAGGGACGGCUAACUACGUG
rnacentral:rRNA from 1 species